rnacentral:tRNA from 1 species
UUAUAUUUAAUAGAAUUAAACUAUUCUUAGGAGUAUCAAAAACUCCUAUACAUCUUAUACUAAAAUAUA